UCCCUGGUAGUCCUGUGGUUAGGACUCUUGCACUUUCACUGCAAAGGGCACAGGUUCAAUCCCUAGGGAA
rnacentral:tRNA from 1 species